UACGUAGGGGGCUAGCGUUGUCCGGAAUCAUUGGGCGUAAAGAGCGUGUAGGCGGCCCGGUAAGUCCGCUGUGAAAGUCGGGGGCUCAACCCACGGAUGCCGGUGGAUACUGUCGGGCUCGAGUACGGAAGAGGCGAGUGGAAUUCCUGGUGUAGCGGUGAAAUGCGCAGAUAUCAGGAGGAACACCUAUUGCGAAGGCAGCUCGCUGGGACGUUACUGACGCUGAGACGCGAAAGCGUGGGGAGCAAACAGG
rnacentral:rRNA from 1 species